CGUGCUGAUUGACUGUGCGCCGCUGAAAAGAAUUAACCAAAGGUGGUCCUUGUGUCUGGACUCCUCUCUGCAGAAGAAGGGCUGAAGAACCCAGACCCUCAGAUACCCUCAGCUUCUGGGUGUCCCAAGGAUGUUCCUCAGCCUAGGGAGCCCAGAACUGAUGCUGACUGGCCUGAGUCUCCAGGAGGAACAAGACCAUCUGGGAGAUGGCACACCCAGAGGCCCACAGCCUCGUUGCUGCCUAGAAAAGAUGUGGAAAGGAAGCCUGGUUCAGAGUGAAACGGAAGUGCCUGAGGUCUGACAGUUGCUCUCUCAAGCCUGUGCAGCCAGGAGGGAAGUAAAACUGCCCGGCAUCUGCACUUUGGCCCUGAAAGUUCAUGGGACAGCAACAGGCCACCCCCUCACAAGCCACUUCUGGGAGGAGUUACUGAAGGUCACAGGCCCUGUGCAACAGACAAGGAAAGAAGGUCACGUAGGUGUAAAGGACCUGCCUGUGUAGGUGGGCCCCAGGCACACCCUCCUUUCAGCCUGGUGGACUGGGCCUCUGUCUCUGUGACCAUGUUUACCAGCCCGCCUACUCCACCCUUGGUCAACCUCUAAGUCUUCAGGCCUUCAAAUCUAUCCAUCCAGCAUGCCUUCUAGGUUCAUUGCCCUUGUUUUUAUGGAUAGAGUCUAACUAGGCCUUACGGAGGCCUCUGGGCUUGGGGAGUGGGGAGGCCCUGAGAGAGACAGCCAGUGCCUGUGCCCAUGACAUAGUGAAAUAAACACCUAAAGAAUCA